rnacentral:rRNA from 1 species
UACGUAGGGUGCGAGCGUUAAUCGGAAUUACUGGGCGUAAAGCGUGCGCAGGCGGUAAGUUAAGUCUGAUGUGAAAGCCCCGGGCUCAACCUGGGAAUGGCAUUGGAAACUGGCUUGCUGGAGUGUGGCAGAGGGGGGUGGAAUUCCGCGUGUAGCAGUGAAAUGCGUAGAGAUGCGGAGGAACACCGAUGGCGAAGGCAGCCCCCUGGGCCAACACUGACGCUCAGGCACGAAAGCGUGGGGGAGCAAACAGG